rnacentral:SRP_RNA from 1 species
AUGCGGGUCCUGUGCGACAAGGCGCUGUGAACCAUGUCAGGCGGGGAACCGAGCAGCAUUAAGCAGCUGUUUUUGUGCGCCGCAGUCAACCUGUGUGCC